rnacentral:lncRNA from 1 species
CGGCGGGGAGACAAGAUGGCGGCCGUGCCGCGCCGGCGGCCGCGCUCCGCGCUGCGCCCGGGCUGCCCGCCGCACAACAGAAACCAUCCUCUUGAGCUCUCCUGCCACGGAGUGGCUGCUGUGGAGAACUGCCGGAAACCGUGCGCCUGGCCUCGGAUAACUCGGAAGGUUUGAGGCAGGUUUACUUCCCCGCCCUGUUGUGGUUAGUUGGAAGUACAAACCCACCCCCACCCCCCCACAGCCUCAGCUCCGGCUCCGUCCAGGCUCGCACAUCGACACAGUCCGGAGCCCAAGUUCCUCGGCUGUUCUUUUCUUUUAGGGGGAAAUAAACACUAAGAGCGAUGAGUUAGAUUUAUUCCAACGCUGCUGUUGUCUGUUAAACUGGGCACGGGAGCAGCAGGAGCGGCGGGUGCUGGUGUGAGGCGACAGGAGCCGCACAGAGCAGUGCGCCCGUCAGGGCUGCCAAGGCCGCCUCCGCUCCUUCGGCGGCCCUGCAGCGGUGCUGAGCAGCGCUGCGCUCUGUGCGCUCAGAGCCCGCUCUUAAAUGAGAAAUGGCAUUGCAUGGCACCGACGCCACUAGCGACUGCCGCAGCUGAAAGCAGAAACAACGGCUGUCAGGGAGUCGUCGGCCAAGGAGAGCAAUUCCUAUAGAUGUCAUCUAUGUUUAGCAAAUAUGUUGGGGAGCUGGAUGCUGAUGGAUUGACCAUCGGUGAUCAACCUUUCACUGUUAGACCACUGGUCCUAAAGAAGCACAGAACUGGGAGAAUUACCAAUUACAGAUUCUUUAGAUUAAGUUUGGGAAAGAAGCAUUUAUUGUUCUGAAGCUGCACUUCUGCUGCUGCUAAGCAGUUCAGGAAUACAAAAAGGAACACCCAGUAAUGGCAAGAAAUUUAGAAAAGAAGAAGUCAGCCAGAACUAUUUUAUGGAGAUUAGACCUGGGGACACCACAGACCUUUAGAUCUCCGUGAUAGGGAAGGAGUGUGCUAUUUACAGUAAGUAUUUGGAAAGCUCUCUCAGCUUCCUUGAGACUGAGAAAUUUGUUUGGCAAUAUGGACUGUGCUAUGACAUUCUUUGUAC